GUUCAAUUUUGGGGAUGAUGCUCCCAUUCUCUUCAGGGAUACUGCUUUCGUUCUGUUCUUCCACAAACAUUUUAGCUGGAUGAACUUCUUGUGCGGUAUAUUCAAGGUACGACUUUCAUUUUUGGGGAUGAUGCAUCCC